UGAUACAAAGCGAUGUAGCGCUCCCUCUGAGCAUUAUCUCUAUAGGCCACGUGCAUGUCAUCGAAAUCCUGCAUCCUGUAAAAGUUAAGAAAGUGAUCCUGAAAAUACAAACCAUUCAAAUCUUAGUCUCAAUGCAAAAUAUGAUAAAAUAAAAUAAAAAUAAAAAUAAAUAAAUGCGAAAAAGUAAAAUGAAAGAAAAACCAUGGGUUGCCUCCCACGCAGCGCUUGUUUAA
rnacentral:lncRNA from 1 species